UUUUCUUUUCAGUUUCUUCAUUAAUUUGCAGAUAUAGCCAACGCCGACAACGACACAGCAAGACUCUCUACCAACACGUAAAAUGAACAUGUCAAGGAAAUAAGGCCGCAACUGACAAAGAAUUUUAUGGAAAGACGGAGCAAAAGGAAACAUCGCAUGGUCCCAAGCAACUACAACAAAGAGACAUCACCUUCUUUUUCUGGUUAAUGACAACGUUGGUGUGACUGAGAAGCCAUACGGCGGGAGACGCAGCCCAACAGCAUAGCCAACCACAACGGCGCAUCAUGCCUUGAGGAGAACAGCCGCUAUGAAGAACCCGGCCCUACGAUAGCCUCCGCGGACCAAGAAGUAUCCGAUUAGUCAUGCAGAAGCUCCAACUGUGGCUGGGUCACACGACCAACCGCAGCCUAUUUGUUUGGGGAGCGCCAAACAAAUGGGAGGGCCCAUUUGUUUGGCGGCCCCGUCACGCCCAGCACCGAGGCCGCCACCUCAGGACCGUUCGAGUGUUGCCCUACGAGGAGUGGAUUAGGCCGGCAACAGGAUCAGUGGAUUCUGGCAGGGCCCUUCUGGACUCCAUCUUGCGUUUCGCCAAUGACGCGCAGAUUAUAAGCCGGUUACGAAUUCGCAUCCCCCUCCUUGCUACAUAUAGCA